rnacentral:rRNA from 1 species
GAGGCAACCUGCCCUCAGGACUGGGAUAACCUACCGGAAACGGUAGCUAAUACCCGGAUAAUUCACUUCUUCGCAUGGAGAAGUGAGGAAAGACGGAGCAAUCUGUCACCGGAGGAUGGGCCUGCGGCGCAUUAGCUAGUUGGAGAGGUAACGGCUCCCCAAGGCGACGAUGCGUAGCCGACCUGAGAGGGUGAUCGGCCACACUGGGACUGAGACACGGCCCAGACUCCUACGGGAGGCAGCAGUAGGGAAUCUUCCGCAAUGGGCGAAAGCCUGACGGAGCAACGCCGCGUGAGUGAUGAAGGUUUUCGGAUCGUAAAGCUCUGUUGCCAAGGAAGAACGUCCUUAAGAGUAACUGCUUAAGGAGUGACGGUACUUGAGAAGAAAGCCCCGGCUAACUACGUGCCAGCAGCCGCGGUAAUACGUAGGGGGCAAGCGUUGUCCGGAAUUAUUGGGCGUAAAGCGCGCGCAGGCGGUCAUUUAAGUCUGGUGUUUAAGCCCGGGGGCUCAACCCCGGAUCGGCACGGGAAACUGGAUGACUUGAGUGCAGAAGAGGAGAGUGGAAUUCCACGUGUAGCGGUGAAAUGCGUAGAGAUGUGGUAGGAAC